GGUGAAACGAGGUCCAGGAAGAAGCCACAGGCCAGGCCCAGCCACGCGCGCGUGCUCUCUCCUUCUUUCUCUACCCCAGUCGUGCAGAACUGCGACAUUUUCCCAGGGGGCAGAAGAAGCGCGCUGAGUGAGUUAAAGGGACCUGUGAAGAUAACGCCAGCUGUCCUGUGACGUCGCUACCGUGCUUGCUUCAACCUUGGUGGGCGUAGCCCUGCAAGCGUCUUUGCUGCAAGCCCUCUUUGUCCGGAUCACGCCACAGUCUUCUUCAAGCGCCACCAUCGACAGAGCAAGCUAUAAAGUGGUGGAAGUCGAGGCCUGCUUUCACAUUCGCGGCAGCGGCAGCAUCGAAGAAGCAUCGUCAAAGUAACAACCCGCCUUUUCGCAGGUGCUGGGCAAGAAGCCAACCGGUCAUGCUGCUUGCAAGCAGAGUCGUCUUUCUCGUCAGCGAGAUCCCGCAGCCGAUUGAAGCAAUGGUCAGUUGGCAGUGGCACAACGGUCGAUUUCGAACCCCGUUCCCUCAGCACAGAUCGUGUGGCACAUACCCAGCACUCCAAGUCAGCGUCAAGGAGUUUCAUCGAAAAGCUCGACCUACCCAGUGCCGCAUCUUACAGUGACCCAUAUCGGCGUCAAGUUCCCUUCCGGUACUUGGUUUCGAAUCCUGUUGCCUCAACACAGCAGUCUCAUGCGCGCUACCCAUUCGACCGCUGACUACCCAGGGACCCAGCGCUGUCGUCCGGCUCCCCAUCGUCCGCGCGUCCCGGUUACGGAGUGGACGGCUUGCAUCACGAGAGAUUGGGAGCCCCGGAACAAGACACAGCACGUGGUCACGGAGUACGCAGGACGGGACGUUCCAGGUAGGGGACGCUGUACGGCUCCGUCGACAAGCAGGAGCAGUAGCGAGCAACGGUGCCUGACAACGAAGCAGCGGGCUUCGAAAGAACAGUGGCCAGUCAUGACCCUAUGACCAGCACCAAGCAGCGGCAGCAGGCAGGCGUCAAUGGCGGUGCCGAAACGGACAACGACGUGGACUUCACUGCGACUAAGAUCGGGCGGUCGCUAGGCGGAGCGGGGACAAGACAGGACGUACGGGUCGUCAUUGAUUCUGACCAGAUGACGCCUACUGGCACGGCCGUCUCCAAGCGGAAUGCUCUGGCGUCGUGCGACCAGCAGCCACGGGCUACCGAGGUGAAAGCGCGCGACCCGGUGGGUAUCCCAGCUGUGGAUAUCCCACCAAGGGCAUGACGACCAGGAGCCGCGGCAGCUUGGAAAGCGUGCUCGAUGGCCGGUCCUUGGUGAAUGUCCCAGAAACGGACGGCGUCUGCACCACGUUAUGAAACUUGCAUUGCUGCUACCAAUCAAUUUUGAUUUGGAGCAAUCUUCGGAGAAGCGAGAUUUAUACUUUGGAGCAGCGACAUUUGUAACAGAAACCUUCUGAAAACUUUCCCUUUAUAUUUUAUUUUGCAAUAACCCCAUUAUCAGAGAGACAAGUCUAUCAAGGCAUGAAGAGCGUGCAUUUCAGUUGGUUGGUCUUUUCGCAGCAAGCAAUGUAGAAAUGUUUGGUGCAACCGUUUUGCGGUGAGUUCAGUUAACACGUUUACAAGCAUUGCUUUCCCGUUUCGUUCACAAUGCAGCAGAAGUGCUGGUAGUUUGCGGGGACGCCGAUCAGGAAUGUCAGUCUUGCUGCAACAGAACGUUGGCGCCAUAUUUCAAAGGCGGGCUUCAGCGUUGCGACCUAGCCGUCUAAACAUAAUUUAGGAUUAUAGACUAUGCUUCUGGUUUAGUUUUAACGCGACAGCGUCAAGAGCUCCGUGUCGCAGAAACUGGCGUUCCGCGGCCAGCGUAGACCAUCUUUUCGCAAGAAAAACAUACCGACUCACGCAUAUUCCAUAUGGCACUAAAGUUGUUCUAUCACUAAAGUUGCUGAUACGUAAGACAAGUCUUACGUGCUUUGCAAGCUUAUUUCACGGUAGUUUGUGAAUGGCGCCUAGAAACAAAUGUCAUGAAACAAAUCACCGACAGCACGUGCCUUUUAUGUUAAAUUUUCCGAGACUAAAAUAUCAACCAUGUGAAACAAUAAGAGAAGAGCAGCCCAUGCAAGUGACCGUGUUUCUACCAGAGAACUCACCUUCGUGCAUAGAUUAUGUCGCCAGCGUUUGCCCGUAAAUAUUACGGUUACAUAAGCUGCAGCGGUUUACAUAAGCCGGAAGCGUGAGAAGCAGUCGGGGAUCGUUGAAUGCUAUCGGAUUACACAUUUAAAGGCACAGCUUCAUAUUUUUCCUGUAUAAUUCUUGCAAACAAAUUCCGGUUUUCACGUACCUAGUUUUACGACCCACCCGCUACAACAGACAAAAUUCGGGACAAAGUUUUGUGCACAUGGUUACAUAUACAAGAAGCUGUGCUGCGGCGACCUGUGGGUCGGCAAUGAAUUGCACGCAAGUUUUCGCAUUCAACGCAGCAAAAGAAGUGAGCAGUCUUAUACGACAUUUUAGAAUCACGACCAAAUUUCCGACUCCGUUUUUUCGAGCAAAAACAAUAAGGUAAGCUGCCUGUUGUAUCACGCACUUUUAAAAGGUACCCGCCUAUGUGGGGAUAGUUUAUAACCUGGCCCACAUCGUCGUCGUCUACUACUACUAUAAAUGUUAGAAUAUUAGUUAUCACCUACUGAACCACUUAUUUAAAAAAAUUAACGACUUCAUUCAUGUUAAUGUAGGGCAACUUGUCAAGCAUUCAUUCAUUAAUGUGCGCCCAUUAAGCGCAUUGCUCUUUAAAGUUUUAUAUGACAGCAACACACGUUUCCAUGCAGCUUACAAAACCUUCAUUUUAUUCACUACCUUUAAAUUACUGAUAUUAUAUAACUCAUUUGUAGCCGCUGUGAUUGACAGAGAUGUUUUCCGAUCUUUUUUGAUAAGACUGUUUUCCGCUAAUGUUAAGCUGAUGCAUGACCCAUGUACCGUAGUGGGUUGAAUCGGAUCGUGGACGCUACCGAAGCCAAAAUUACGAAAUGGGCGAACCACUACUUUUUUUCCGGUUUUGAUGUGUCGUACGGUAAUGUAUCCGACAAAGAAAACCGGCGAAACACUGGCGGUAACGUACCUUGAUCAACACCGAAGUGCGCGCAUCACCAACAUCAUCAUCAUCAUCAAGUAUCAUCAUCACCAUCAUCAGGUACAAUAAUCUGGUAGCACAAUCAUCAUCAUCAGGUAUAAUCAUCAUCAUCACCUUCAGGUAUCAUCAUCACCAUCAUCAGGUAUCCACAUCAUCGGGCAUCAUCAUCAUCAUCAGGAAUCAUCAUCAUCGGGUAUCAACAUCAUCAUCAAGGAUCAUCAUCAUCAUCAGGAAUCAUAAUCAUCGGGUAUCAUCAUUAUCAUCGGGUAUCAUCACCGGGUAUCAUCAUCAUCAUCAUCAUCAUCGGGUAUCAUCAUCAUCGGAUAUCAUCAUCAUCGGUAUCAUCAUCAUCAUCGGUAUCAUCAUCAUCAUCGGUAUCAUCAUCAUUAUUGGCAUCAUUAUCAUCAUUAUUGGCAUCAUUAUCAUCAUCAAUGGCAUCAUUAUCAUCAUCAUCGGAUAGCAUUAUCAUCAUCAUCGGGUAGCAUAAUCAUCAUCAUCGGGUAGCAUAAUCAUCAUCAUCGGGUAGCAUAAUCAUCAUCAUCGGGUAGCAUAAUCAUCAUCAUCGGGUAUCAUUAUCAUCAUCAUCGGGUAUCAUUAUCAUCAUCAUCGGGUAUCAUUAUCACCAUCAUCGGGUAUCAUUAUCAUCAUCAUCGGGUAGCAUUAUCAUCAUCAUCGGGUAUCAUUAUCAUCAUCAUCGGGUAUCACUAUCAUCAUCAUCGGGUAUCAUUAUCAUCAUCAUUGUGUAUCAUCAUCAUCAUCAUCAUUGGGUAUCAUCAUCAUCAUCAUUGGGUAUCAUCAUCAUCAUUGGGUAUCAUCUCAUCAUUGGGUAUCAUCAUCAUCAUCGGGUAUCAUGAUUAUGUGAUGUGAUGAUCAUCAUCAAUCUACUGCAGGGCAAAGGCCUCUCCCAUACUUCAACUAUACCGGCCAUGUGCCAUAAAUUUUGUGUUGCUUCUCAAAUAGCGUCAACAAACAUGUGCUAGCUGCGCGGGUUAGGAUUGUGGCCAUGUUGUCCCUGCAAACUUCUUAAUUUCAGGCGUCCACCUAACUUUCUGUCACCCCCUGCUACGCUUCCCUUCUCUUGGAAUCCAGUCCGUAAUCCUUAAUGAGCAUCCGUUAUCGUUACAUGCCCUGCCCAUGCCCAUUUUUUUUCUUGAUUUCAACUAAGAUGUCAUUAGGGAGUUUUAGAAUAGGGGCCCCAAACGUUUUGGGGCCCCAAAGAAAUAGCGUCGAAGCCACUGCGCAUGCGCAAGACGCAAACUGCGUUUGGGUUUUGCGUUGGGAACGCUAUUUCACCGAUUUAGCGGGAGCCCAAAUAGCGGCCCCAAAAGUUUUGCGUCGGCAAACAUGGCGGCACCCAUCGAAGCGACGGCUCUCACCUAGCACAAAACUGGGUUCGAUUCGUAGUAACGCGUGAAGUUCGCAAGCUAGGAGAAGUGACUGCGGUUAUCGCUCUCUCUCAACUAGCGUGUGUUAUGAAGAUUGACUCAUUAGACGCCGCUGAUUCCUGAUUUGAUUGUGGAUCUUAUGGCUCGUAGGCCUAACACGGCUAAGCUUGGCUGGUGAAGGCUAGUAAAGUUGGUUUGCUCAAAACUAAGCGCAACUAACUGUUUGCUGCUUACAGAAUAACCUCUAAAUUGUAAUCAAACGCGAAUACACGCAAGUCAAAAUUAUUAUUCCUCUCAUAAAAUGGUAUGUUUUAUUUAAUUAUUUCCAAUAGCUUUUCUUUGACGCCGUAGUGGCGCUGUCAGCGCAAGACGCUAUCCGCAAACGUAAAACCAUGGUAAAACCCUAUUCUAAAACUCUUCACUCCUACGUGUCCCAAUGCUGACACCCGCAAAGCUCUUUGGGGCCCCAAACUAUUGGGGCCCCUAUUCUAAAACUCCCUAUUAACUUGCGUUUGUUCCUUCACGCAAUCUGCUCUCUUGUUAUCAUCCCCCCCCCCCCCCCCUUAACGUUACGCCCGUUGCGUCGUCCUCAAUUUAAGUAGAACCCUUUUUGUAAGGGUUCUACUUGCGCUAUGUUGCUUUGUGUCGCAAUGUGUGCGAUUUUUUUUUGUUGCAGCGAUAUGUGGUGCUGGAGUGAUUAGAAAGGAUCAAACGGGUAGCUCGAUUUCUGCCCCGUACUGGCGCCGUAUUCUGUAGCGGUUCUUUUGGGAGCCGGUUCUUUUUGGUUGCUUUGUGUCGCAAUGUGUGCGAUUUUUUUUUGUUGCAGCGACAUGUGGUGCUGGAGUGAUUAGAAAGGAUCAAACGGGUAGCUCGAUUUUCUGCCCCGUACUGGCGCCGUAUUCUGUAGCGGUUCCUUUGGGAGCCCGUUCUUUUUGGCUGUUGCCAUUGGUCGGCCCUUCGAUGUCGUCAUCCCUGGUGGGCGGGACGACAAAUUUUGAUGACGUCACACAGGUUGCCAAUCAUCUGGAAAGGAACCGGUUCCCUGCUAGGAGUGGAACCGCGGAGAAGUGAUUCGUUUGAGAGUCGCGCGCGGGGGCCAGCAUGAUGUCGAGGGUUGCUAGGGCAACCGUGGCUGCCGGCUAAUCUCGCGCCAGCUGACGAGCCGGCACCUAGACGAGACAGAGACGGCAAUGGCGGCUCCUUUGGUUGUGCUGCUGGCGAGUGCCGAAAGACAACGACGCGACGAGAGGCAACGACGAGAGGCAACGACGCGACGCGUUCGGCAUGACUGAACGCGUCGAAGGCAUUUUAGGCUCUCCAAAUACAUAGUGCGACGUGUUUGCGAUGAGCUGGAAGGACAUCUCGGACCUCAAAGAUUGCGUGGUGUCGACACUACGAUGAAAGUGCUGUGCGCGCUGCGGUUUUUUGCCACCGGGAGUUUUCAACAGUGCGUCGGGAAUGAAGAAGCGGCUGUAAUGAUCCGGCUGACCGAAGGCACUGUCGUAGCCUUCGGUCAGAUAUUGACAGAUAUUUUCGAUAUGUGUUUGCGCGAGUGCACGUUGUAAAAAACUUCGUUUCGUUAUUUUUCAUCAACUGCCGGUAAUAAUUGCGUUCCUAUUAGAGAAAGUAGCGUUUGUGUAAUGACGACUUUGAUCUUUGCAUAGAACACGGCCGCACUUUUUCAGUGCUCUCCAAUCACAGUUGAAUAGCCUUUUCGAUGCUACAAUGUAAACACAUUACGCGCGACUUAAACCGGAAUAGACGCCGUAGCAGUGAAGGGAGUCUUCGUCUGUGAGCGAUCCUAACAGAAGACGAGUCCUUGUGAUUCUUAUUCUAAAGCAUUGUGGCCAACAGACUGUAAACGUGAAAAGGAGCAUCCCAUCAAUGAAAAUGGUGUGAGGGAGAACACGGCCGCACUUUUUCAGUGCUCUCCAAUCACAGUUGAAUAGCCUUUUCGAUGCUACAAUGUAAACACAUUACACGCGACUUAAACCGGAAUAGACGCCGUAGCAGUGAAGGGUGGGUGCAGAGAAUGUGUGGGUGUCCACACAUUCUCAAUGUGUGGACACCCAUUUGCUCUAGCUGUUAAUACGGCACAUGCUGUUUCCGCGUUCUUUCGCUUGUAAUAGGCACUUUGUCUGAAAAAAAAACAAAAAAACAACACAGGUGGCACUCUUUAGCAGAAUCUUAUACAAUAUGGACGGAAGAAACCAAAGGAAUUAUUUUGCACAUUGUGUUGUUACCGCACGCCAUACAUGAGCAUGUGAACACAUGCCAACAUUGCAUUUGUAGGUUAAGAUGACAUUGUUAUCAUGCUGAUCAUUAGUUCAACUGCCUACUGCGUAUGUUGAUAUCUCCUUUUCUGUAAUUGUCUUCACUGACUGAUUGGCAAGUAGUGUUGUAAGCAAAAGGUUGUAACAGAUAUUUGUUGCAGGGGCACUGACACCUUCUCUUUGCUUUCCCUUAUGAGGUGUGCGACGCGAAGCUGAAUAUCCUGGAAAUUGACCCACGGUUUCCGGGAUCGUGCCACGAUUCUUUCGUCUGGAGGCAUUCUGCAUUUCGCCGCCGCCUCACUCGUGGCCUGUUACUUCAUAGAGAAGUCUUGCUCUGCACUGCACCUAAAGUACCAGUGCUUCUUCCACAUGUAAAACAUACACAGUCAAAUAGUUUUGCAUCCUAGCAAGCUUUAAGAAAGCGUGAUUUGCUAGAAAUGUGUUGUGAAUGCAGCAGUACCUAAUGAACCUGCAGCGACUAUCGAGAGAAACAAGUCUCUCUUAAAAGGCAGAUAUUUGUACCAGCAUGUAUACAACAGCUGACAUGUUAUGCUGUUUAUUUAUUAAUUUCAAUACACUGAACGCCACGUGGAGCGCUACAGGCAGGGGUGGAAUUCUACAGAACACGUCGAAAUGGCAGUUUUGAAGUAUGGUGGAAAAGGGUUGGUGACAAUGGACUCGGGGACCUGGUCCCUGGUCACUGUCCUUGGUACAAAGGAAUAAGCGUGUGCGUGAAACUUUCGGCAUCGACGUUAGUGAUCGGUGUAGUAUAUAUUGUAGAAUGGUGCAAGUUGCGCUAUGUUGCUUUGUGCCGCAAUGUGUGCGAUUUUUUUUUUGUUGCAGCGACAUGUGGUGCUGGAGUGAUUAGAAAGGAUCAAACGGGUAGCUCGAUUUGGGGUGCCUUCAUGAGAAGAGGUACGAAAGGUAGAGCAAGCAUCCCAGAUACUGGCAGCAUAUUCGAGAGUAGACCUUAGAAGUGUUUUAUAAAAUAACACUUCUGAAGAGAGAAGCGCUAAUAAGUUUUAGAGGAAGAUGUACAUUUAGGGAGGGCCAAAUGGGAUGAACGGAGCAGAAAACCACCAGUAUGAAAUAAAUAUUACAUGUCCAACUUAACCUGAGAAUGAGAUUUGCAGCCAAGACAACAGGUGAAAUUGGGCUUUUCUUUAAAAUGGGUUGAACUUUCUUUACAACUUCCCGGGAAGGUCAGUGUUUGAUAUAUAUUGCAACAAUAAAUCCAAGACCCGCUCCUGUUGUAAAAGGGCCCUGGCGUAGACUGCGUUCUUGCAUUGUGCCUUAAUGUAUCCAUUUCGUUCACUGACAUGCAACACUUUACAGGGGACUCUGGGUACCCGCUAGAGCCAUGUAUCAUGACUUCUGUGCCUGGUCACCCAAAUCGCCUCACGGCAGAGGGGCGCUAUAAUGAGGCACACGCAUCAAUGCGAAAUGCCGUUGAGCGGUGCAUAGGAGUCGUCAAGAGCCACUUCCGAUGCCUGCAGAGCAGGCGUGCCUCUGCCAGAAGACCCAGAUGACGAUGGUGCACAUGACGACAGCGCACAGGGGCCAGCCCAGGCACAAGUGCCGCUUCAAGUACAGGUGCCACCGCAGGCGCACUCUGUACAGCCUUCACGAGCUUUGUUUCAAAGAGGCCGUGCGGUGCGCGAAUCCAUAGUUGGUGUGUUUCGGCUGCCCAGAAAUUUGCGCAUUGCCUACCUGCAAAGUGUGCGCCGGCGCAUUCGCUGGCAAAUGAGGCGGAGACAUGUGCUGGUGUAACAUGUUUUAUUUUUCUUUUCAUGAAGUAAAUUGGCCGUGCACAUCAACAUAACACAUUGCGUGUGCUCACAUAUGGCUAAUCGUAGUAUGCUGCAUACUGCGGUAGUGAAAAGCACAUGAUUUGUCUAUGUUGAGCAUGACAGAUACACAUGCAGUGACAAAUAACCAUGUGCCAUUAUGUUACUUCUUUGCUUUGUUCACUGUGCUUUUGAAUAUUGUCUCGCCAGGGAAUUUUCUUUAAAUAAAGGUUAUUUCCAAGGUGACUGGCAA